GCCUUCGUGAUGUAGUGGUCAACACGCUCGACAUGUAAUCGAGAGGCCCGUGGUUCGAGUCCCGGCGAGGACA
rnacentral:tRNA from 1 species